rnacentral:rRNA from 1 species
CAGUCGCCGCGGUAAUACAGAGGCCUCAAGCGUUGUUCGGAUUCAUUGGGCGUAAAGGGUGCGUAGGUGGCUUGGUAAGUUGAAGGUGAAAUCUCGGGGCUUAACCCCGAAACUGCCUUCAAUACUGCUAGGCUCGAGGACUGUAGAGGAGAAUGGAAUUCACGGUGUAGCAGUGAAAUGCGUAGAUAUCGUGAGGAAGACCAGUGGCGAAGGCGAUUCUCUGGGCAGUUCCUGACACUGAGGCACGAAGGCCAGGGGAGCAAACGGGAUUAGAUACCCCCGUAGUCCCUGUCUCUUAUAA